rnacentral:rRNA from 1 species
UACGUAGGGGGCAAGCGUUGUCCGGAAUCAUUGGGCGUAAAGAGCGUGUAGGCGGCUUGUUAAGUCUUGCGUGAAAUCUCGGGGCUCAACCCCGAGCGGUCGUGAGAAACUGGCAGGCUAGAGUGCGGGAGAGGAGAGUGGAAUUCCUGGUGUAGCGGUGAAAUGCGCAGAUAUCAGGAGGAACACCGAUGGCGAAGGCAGGUCUCUGGGCAUUAACUGACGCUGAGGAGCGAAAGCAUGGGGAGCGAACAGG